UACGUAGGGUGCAAGCGUUGUCCGGAAUUAUUUGGGCGUAAAGAGCUCGUAGGUGGUCUGUUACGUCUGCUGUGAAAACCUAGGGCUUUAACCCUGGGCCUGCAGUGGAUACGGGCAGACUAGAGGUAGGUAGGGGAGAAUGGAAUUCCCGGUGUAGCGGUGAAAUGCGCAGAUAUCGGGAGGAACACCGGUGGCGAAGGCGGUUCUCUGGGCCUUACCUGACACUGAGGAGCAAAAGCGUGGGGAGCGAACAGG
rnacentral:rRNA from 1 species